rnacentral:rRNA from 1 species
AGUGAACGCUGGCGGUAGGCCUAACACAUGCAAGUCGAGCGGCAGCACAGGAGAGCUUGCUCUCUGGGUGGCGAGUGGCGGACGGGUGAGGAAUACAUCGGAAUCUACUUUUUCGUGGGGGAUAACGUAGGGAAACUUACGCUAAUACCGCAUACGACCUACGGGUGAAAGCAGGGGAUCUUCGGACCUUGCGCGAUUGAAUGAGCCGAUGUCGGAUUAGCUAGUUGGCGGGGUAAAGGCCCACCAAGGCGACGAUCCGUAGCUGGUCUGAGAGGAUGAUAAGCCACACUGGAACUGAGAGACGGUCCAGACUCCUACGGGAGGCAGCAGUGGGGAAUAUUGGACAAUGGGCGCAAGCCUGAUCCAGCCAUACCGCGUGGGUGAAGAAGGCCUUCGGGUUGUAAAGCCCUUUUGUUGGGAAAGAAAUCCAGCUGGUUAAUACCCGGUUGGGAUGACGGUACCCAAAGAAUAAGCACCGGCUAACUUCGUGCCAGCAGCCGCGGUAA